UACGUAGGGUGCAAGCGUUGUCCGGAAUUAUUGGGCGUAAAGAGCUCGUAGGCGGUCUGUCGCGUCUGCUGUGAAAUCUCAGGGCUUAACCCUGAGCUUGCAGUGGGUACGGGCAGACUAGAGUGCGGUAGGGGAGACUGGAAUUCCUGGUGUAGCGGUGAAAUGCGCAGAUAUCAGGAGGAACACCGGUGGCGAAGGCGGGGUCUCUGGGCCGUAAACUGACGC
rnacentral:rRNA from 1 species